rnacentral:rRNA from 1 species
UACGGGGGGGGCAAGCGUUGUUCGGAAUUACUGGGCGUAAAGGGCUCGUAGUCGGCCAACUAAGUCCGACGUGAAAUCCCCAGGCUCAACCUGGGAACUGCGUCGGAUACUGGAUGGCUUGAAUUCGGGAGAGGGAUGCAGAAUUCCAGGUGUAGCGGUGAAAUGCGUAGAUAUCGGGAGGAACACCAGUGGCGAAGGCGGCUUCCUGGCCUGUUCUUGACGCUGAGGCGCGAAAGCUAGGGGAGCAAACGGG